rnacentral:lncRNA from 1 species
UUUGUUACCAAGAUACGGUAAUGAAAACCAUUAUUUCACUCAGCUCUUGUGUAAGACUUAAAGAGCAGAAAGAUGAAGAUGAAGCUGGGGGAAAUCGGACACAUCUUGAAGUUCUUUAUAAUGAUUUUCAACUCAGUUUAUGUGAUACUUGGAUUUGCUAUUUUGGGAUGUGGAAUCUGGAUUUUAUUUGACAAAAGCAGCUUCAUUAUAACCAUCAGCAGCAAGGAGACCAUUCGAAUCGUUGCCAGUGGCCUCUGUGUGAUCGGCCU